GUAGAUUAAAAAUUACACCACUCUAGGCCCUUUUGUUUCCCACGUAAUUAAUAUCGCCAAUAAUUAGGAAGUUCCGGGUCGAGUUCGAUACCGAUACCAAUAGUAUAAUCACCUGUUACCUAUUACCUUAUCUGUACGUUCCGCAUCUGACAGGCGCACCACCAAACGGUGUAUUCAGGAUUAAUAUGCUAUAUAAACGGG
rnacentral:lncRNA from 1 species